UAAUAAGAAAAAGGCCAUCCUCUUUGAAAUAUUCAAUAAUUAAAAUAUUACCUGCUGCUUUAAUUUUUUUCAGAUAUUCGGAUGUAUUUAUCGGAUUAGUCACAGCCCUUUUAAGAAAAAUACAAUUUACUUGUAAUUUUUCUCAACUCAAUAUGAUAAAUGAUGCAGAUACUGAUGAAGAUAACCAGACCGAGUGGGAAAUUUUUUUGAAAACCACUGUGGAAAUUAUAGCUAUAGUUGCGGAAUACACCCCUAUGGAAACUUUUGGACUAAUUUUGAUUUUCAGUUAUCACCUUGGAAAGUAUGUUUUGAUAUCUUCCAAAACAUGGAGAACACAGUGGAUCAUCAGAAUCGUUCACUGAAAUUUGGAGUUCCCGAGACUGAAAAUAUAUGUUAUGUUCUAAAGGACUUCUCAUCUCUCAGUCAAGCUCUCACCAGGAUUUCUUCUGUUAUUAUUGACUCAG